rnacentral:rRNA from 1 species
GAUGAACGCUGGCGGCGUGCCUAAUACAUGUAAGUCGAACGGGGAGCAGUUGUAGCAAUACGAUUGCUUCUAGUGGCGAACGGGUGAGUAACGCGUGGAUGAUCUGCCCCGAAGUGAGGGAUAACGGCUCGAAAGGGCUGCUAAUACCACAUGUGGUUAUAGAGAUUAGAGGCUUGAUAACUAAAGGAGCAAUUCGCUUCGGGAGGAAUCUGCGUCCCAUCAGCUAGUUGGUGAGGUAACGGCCCACCAAGGCGACGACGGGUAGGGGGCCUGAGAGGGUGGCCCCCCACAAUGGAACUGAAACACGGUCCAUACACCUACGGGUGGCAGCAGUAGGGAAUAUUGCACAAUGGGCGAAAGCCUGAUGCAGCAACGCCGCGUGCGCGAUGAAGGCCUUCGGGUCGUAAAGCGCUUUUCGGGGAGAUGAGGAAGGACAGUAUCCCCGGAAUAAGUCUCGGCUAACUACGUGCCAGCAGCCGCGGUAAAACGUAGGAGGCAAGCGUUAUCCGAAUUUACUGGGCGUAAAGCGUGUGCAGGCGGUUCGGUAAGUUGGAUGUGAAAUCUCCUGGCUCAACUGGGAGAGGUCGUUCAAUACUGUCGGACUAGAGGGCGGUAGAGGGAGGUGGAAUUCCGGGUGUAGUGGUGAAAUGCGUAGAUAUCCGGAGGAACACCUGUGGCGAAAGCGGCCUCCUGGACCGUACCUGACGCUCAUACACGAAAGCUAGGGGAGCGAACGGGAUUAGAAACCCCGGUAGUCCUAGCCGUAAACGAUGUGGACUGGGUGUCGGUGGGGUAAAAGCCAUCGGUGCCGAAGCUAACGCGAUAAGUCCACCGCCUGGGGACUACGGCCGCAAGGUUAA